GACGAACGCUGGCGGCGUGCUUAACACAUGCAAGUCGAACGGAAAGGCCCUGCUUUUGUGGGGUGCUCGAGUGGCGAACGGGUGAGUAGCACGUGAGUAACCUGCCCUUGACUUUGGGAUAACUUCAGGAAACUGGGGCUAAUACCGGAUAGGAGCUCCUGCUGCAUGGUGGGGGUUGGAAAGUUUCGGCGGUUGGGGAUGGACUCGCGGCUUAUCAGCUUGUUGGUGGGGUAGUGGCUUACCAAGGCUUUGACGGGUAGCCGGCCUGAGAGGGUGACCGGCCACAUUGGGACUGAGAUACGGCCCAGACUCCUACGGGAGGCAGCAGUGGGGAAUAUUGCACAAUGGGCGGAAGCCUGAUGCAGCAACGCCGCGUGCGGGAUGACGGCCUUCGGGUGGUAAACCGCUUUCGCCUGUGACGAAGCGUGAGUGACGGUAACGGGUAAAGAAGCACCGGCUAACUACGU
rnacentral:rRNA from 1 species